AGCGAACGCUGGCGGCAGGCCUAACACAUGCAAGUCGAACGAACCUUUCGGGGUUAGUGGCGGACGGGUGAGUAACACGUGGGAACGUGCCUUUAGGUUCGGAAUAACUCAGGGAAACUUGUGCUAAUACCGAAUGUGCCCUUCGGGGGAAAGAUUUAUCGCCUUUAGAGCGGCCCGCGUCUGAUUAGCUAGUUGGUUGAGGUAAUGGCUCACCAAGGCGACGAUCAGUAGCUGGUCUGAGAGGAUGAUCAGCCACCUUGGGACUGAGACACGGCCCAAACUCCUACGGGAAGCAGCAGUGGGGAAUCUUGCGCAAUGGGCGAAAGCCUGACGCAGCCAUGCCGCGUGAAUGAUGAAGGGCUUAGGAUUGUAAAAUUCUUUCACCGGGGACGAUAAUGACGGUACCCGGAGAAGAAGCCCCGGCUAACUUCGUG
rnacentral:rRNA from 1 species